GAUGAACGCAGGCGGCGUGCUUAACACAUGCAAGUCGAACGGUGAAGCAGAGCUUGCUCUGUGGAUCAGUGGCGAACGGGUGAGUAACACGUGAGCAACCUGCCCCGGACUCUGGGAUAAGCGCUGGAAACGGCGUCUAAUACCGGAUACGAGCUGCGAAGGCAUCUUCAGCAGCUGGAAAGAAUUUCGGUCCGGGAUGGGCUCGCGGCCUAUCAGCUUGUUGGUGAGGUAAUGGCUCACCAAGGCGUCGACGGGUAGCCGGCCUGAGAGGGUGACCGGCCACACUGGGACUGAGACACGGCCCAGACUCCUACGGGAGGCAGCAGUGGGGAAUAUUGCACAAUGGGCGAAAGCCUGAUGCAGCAACGCCGCGUGAGGGACGACGGCCUUCGGGUUGUAAACCUCUUUUAGCAGGGAAGAAGCGAAAGUGACGGUACCUGCAGAAAAAGCACCGGCUAACUACGUGCCAGCCGCCGCAGUAAGAC
rnacentral:rRNA from 1 species